rnacentral:sRNA from 2 species
CGACUUCUACUUCUUGGUCUUUAUCCCCAGCCUGAAUGUUCAACUUUUUUCUCCAGUCCCAGACUCCACGAUCCACCUCUUCACGUGUCAUCCCAUCUCUCACCAGGCAAAACGAAACUCCCAAUUCCGUCUGCACAUUUCUAUUCCUUGCUUCAUCGUCAAAAAACAACAUAUCUUCAUAUCGUAUUCCACUUGCUUGGUGUAUUCGCGAGAAAUGUUGCGACUUAUCGCCGGGGAAAAUCUGAACAUAGUCAAAAUAAUCCAGAGCACGGACAGAGCGAUUAUUGGCUGCCGUGGGGUUAUCCGAGAACGAUGGUAUGAUAUGUAAUGUUUUAAGCAUAUCUCGAGCAAUGUCUGGAGCGUACGUUCUCGACGCAAUCCCUAUGGGUAUGGAUCGCGAACGACACGCAUGCAAGAUAGAGGAUACGGCGGGGUAAAAUGCGAAAGAUUCACCCCACCUGUAACAAACCCAGAAUCAAACAAAUCAGAAGUCAGUCGCCGGUAAGAUGCGAUCAGUCAUUACCUACUACAGGUAAGUCACGUUCAAUCUGUGACACGAGCGGGAUACUGGGGCCGGGAAAGCGACAUAGAGAAGGCCAUACCUGUCAACGCAUCGCGAGUUAUUGUCCUUUGCUUUAAGAGGAGGACUAACAUGGGUGUCGACCCAAAAUGGCCAUAAUGUAUAAUCUAGGUCGAAAACGAAAAGUUUCGGCAAAGGAAGUCCGUCGUUGAAGGUCGAAGGCGCAACUGUGGGAUCUUCGAGGGCGGGCUGGGCUUUCGCUCCUGAGCCGCUUUUUGUUCUGGCCAUACUAGUAUGCGCGGCUUAAACGUAUACACAAAUCAUCAACCUGCCUUUCGGUUUAGCAAGUGUACAUGAAAUAUCCCCAAUCUCCAGCCCAAAAUUGGGAAAUGCAAUGUUGGGAAAUGUAGAAUUAUUGAUUAUUAUCGAUUAUUGAAAG